rnacentral:rRNA from 1 species
GAUGAACGCUGGCGGCGUGCCUAAUACAUGCAAGUCGAGCGAACAGACGAGGAGCUUGCUCCUCUGACGUUAGCGGCGGACGGGUGAGUAACACGUGGAUAACCUACCUAUAAGACUGGGAUAACUUCGGGAAACCGGAGCUAAUACCGGAUAAUAUAUUGAACCGCAUGGUUCAAUAGUGAAGGACGGUUUUGCUGUCACUUAUAGAUGGAUCCGCGCCGCAUUAGCUAGUUGGUAAGGUAACGGCUUACCAAGGCGACGAUGCGUAGCCGACCUGAGAGGGUGAUCGGCCACACUGGAACUGAGACACGGUCCAGACUCCUACGGGAGGCAGCAGUAGGGAAUCUUCCGCAAUGGGCGAAAGCCUGACGGAGCAACGCCGCGUGAGUGAUGAAGGUCUUCGGAUCGUAAAACUCUGUUAUUAGGGGAGAACAAAUGUGUAAGUAACUAUGCACGUCUUGACGGUACCUAAUCAGAAAGCCACGGCUAACUACGUG